AUAGAAACGUCUUGAAAUAUUGCUUAAUUACCGCCUUUUUACUAACAACCGCUCUGGUAUUUGGGCUUUUAUCACGCUCAAAGAAAAUGCGUUUUCUGUGGAAAAGAUUAAGACUAUCCCUGAUAUUGGAGGUUCAAAGGUUACUGGAGCGUCUUUCAAGAGGUCAAGUGCAAG